rnacentral:rRNA from 1 species
AGUGAACGUUGGCGGCAGGCCUAACACAUGCAAGUCGAACGGCAGCACGGCAGUAGCAAUACUGUGGGUGGCGAGUGGCGGACGGGUGAGGAAUACAUCGGGAUCUACCCUGUUGUGGGGGAUAACGUAGGGAAACUUACGCUAAUACCGCAUAAGAACUGAGGUUGAAAGCGGCGGACCGCAAGGCGUCGCGCGAUUGGAUGAACCGAUGUCCGAUUAGCUAGUUGGCGGGGUAAAGGCCCACCAAGGCGACGAUCGGUAGCUGGUCUGAGAGGACGACCAGCCACACUGGAACUGAGACACGGUCCAGACUCCUACGGGAGGCAGCAGUGGGGAAUUUUGGACAAUGGGCGGAAGCCUGAUCCAGCCAUGCCGCGUGAGUGAAGAAGGCCUCGGUUGUAAGA